rnacentral:rRNA from 1 species
AACGAACGCUGGCGGCAGGCUUAACACAUGCAAGUCGAACGCAUCGCAAGAUGAGUGGCAGACGGGUGAGUAACGCGUGGGAACAUACCCUUUUCUACGGAAUAGCUCUGGGAAACUGGAAUUAAUACCGUAUACGCCCUACGGGGGAAAGAUUUAUCGGGGAAGGGUUGGCCCGCGUUGGAUUAGCUAGUUGAUGGGGUAAAGGCCUACCAAGGCGACGAUCCAUAGCUGGUCUGAGAGGAUGAUCAGCCACAUUGGGACUGAGACACGGCCCAAACUCCUACGGGAGGCAGCAGUGGGGAAUAUUGGACAAUGGGCGCAAGCCUGAUCCAGCCAUGCCGCGUGAGUGAUGAAGGCCUUAGGGUUGUAAAGCUCUUUCACCGAUGAAGAUAAUGACGGUAGUCGGAGAAGAAGCCCCGGCUAACUUCGUGCCAGCAGCCGCCGUAAUAC